GAGUUUGAUCCUGGCUCAGAAUGAACGCUGGCGGCAUGCCUAACACAUGCAAGUCGAACGAAGGCUUCGGCCUUAGUGGCGCACGGGUGCGUAACGCGUGGGAAUCUGCCCUCAGGUUCGGAAUAACAGCGAGAAAUUGCUGCUAAUACCGGAUGAUAUCGCGAGAUCAAAGAUUUAUCGCCUGAGGAUGAGCCCGCGUAGGAUUAGCUAGUUGGUGUGGUAAAGGCGCACCAAGGCGACGAUCCUUAGCUGGUCUGAGAGGAUGAUCAGCCACACUGGGACUGAGACACGGCCCAGACUCCUACGGGAGGCAGCAGUGGGGAAUAUUGGACAAUGGGCGAAAGCCUGAUCCAGCAAUGCCGCGUGAGUGAUGAAGGCCUUAGGGUUGUAAAGCUCUUUUACCCGGGAUGAUAAUGACAGUACCGGGAGAAUAAGCUCCGGCUAACUCCGUGCCAGCAGCCGCGGUAAUACGGAGGGAGCUAGCGUUAUUCGGAAUUACUGGGCGUAAAGCGCACGUAGGCGGCUUUGUAAGUUAGAGGUGAAAAGCCUGGAGCUCAACUCCAGAAUUGCCUUUAAGACUGCAUCGUUGAAUCCAGGAG
rnacentral:rRNA from 1 species